AAAUAGACUGCCUUCGUAAGGAGGAGGAAGGUGUGGACGACGUCAAGUCAUCAUGGCCCUUAUGCCCAGGGCGACACACGUGCUACAAUGGCAUAUACAAUGAGACGCAAUACCGCGAGGUGGAGCAAAUCUAUAAAAUAUGUCCCAGUUCGGAUUGUUCUCUGCAACUCGAGAGCAUGAAGCCGGAAUCGCUAGUAAUCGUAGAUCAGCCAUGCUACGGUGAAUACGUUCCCGGGUCUUGUACUCACCGCCCGUCACACCAUGGGAGUUGAUUUCACUCGAAGCCGGAAUACUAAACUAGUUACCGUCCACAGUGGAAUCAGCGACUGGGGUGAAGUCGUAACAAGGUAACCGUAGGAGAACCUGCGGUUGGAUCACCUCCUUUCUAG
rnacentral:rRNA from 1 species